GGACGACCAGCCACACUGGAACUGAGACACGGUCCAGACACCUACGGGUGGCAGCAGUCGAGAAUUUUUCUCAAUGGGCGAAAGCCUGAAGGAGCGACGCCGCGUGGAGGAUGAAGGUCUUCGGAUUGUAAACUCCUGUCAUCGGCGAACAAAGUCAGUGUCAAAAUAUGGCACUUGAGCUGAUAGUAGUCGAAGAGGAAGAGACGGCUAACUCUGUGCCAGCAGCCGCGGUAAUACAGAGGUCUCAAGCGUUGUUCGGAUUUAUUGGGCGUAAAGGGUGCGUAGGCGGCAUGGUAAGUUAGAUGUGAAAGGCUGAGGCUCAACCUCAACAUUGCAUUUAAUACUGCCAUGCUUGAGCACUAGAGAAGAGGCUGGAAUUUACGGUGUAGCAGUGAAAUGCGUAGAUAUCGUAAGGAACGCCAGUGCCGAAAGCGAGCCUCUAGAUAGUUUGCUGACGCUGAGGCACGAAAGCCAGGGGAGCAAACGGGAUUAGAUACCCCGGUAGUCCUGGCUGUAAACGGUGCGCGUUUGGUGUGAGAGGGUUCGACCCCUCUUGCGCCGGAGCUAACGCGUUAAACGCGCCGCCUGGGAAGUACGGUCGCAAGACUAAAACUCAAAGAAAUUGACGGGGGCCCGCACAAGCGGUGGAGUAUGUGGCUUAAUUCGAUCCACGCGAAAAACCUUACCUGGACUUGACAUGCAUUGAUAAGACGGUGAAAGCCGCCGGAGGCAGUAAUGCCCCCUUGCACAGGUGCUGCAUGGCUGUCGUCAGCUCGUGUCGUGAGAUGUUGGGUUAAGUCCCGCAACGAGCGCAACCCUCGUGCGCUGUUACUGGUUAAAACCGGUUCUCUGCGUAGACUGCCCCGUGAAACGGGGAGGAAGGCGAGGAUGACGUCAAGUCAGCAUGGCCCUUACGUCCAGGGCUGCACACGUACUACAAUGUCCAGCACAAAACGAUCUAGCGUCGCGAGGCACUAGAAAUCAGUAAAGCUGGGCUCAGUUCGGAUUGCAGGCUGCAACUCGCCUGCAUGAAGCCGGAAUCGCUAGUAAUGGCGCAUCAGCUACGGCGCCGUGAAUACGUUCCCGGGCCUUGUACACACCGCCCGUCACAUCAUGGAAGUCGCUCGCACCCAAAGUGUUUAGGUCAUUUGUGAUUAAAAUACAAAGGCGCAAGUGGUAACUGGGAUGAAGUCGUAACAAGGUA
rnacentral:rRNA from 1 species